CAGAGCCCUCCAGGCAGGACCACUGAGCAAGGCCCUUGGAAAAUCGGAAAGAUUGGAGCGGUGAGUCGCGCUGGUCACGUUGGACACCUGCGCGUUGGGAGAUUCUGGUGCCAGAAGGACAGCCGAAUGGCCUUCUCCCGCCCUGCCCCUCGCCUGCUUCAGAAACCCCCAGAAACGCCCCUGUUGCGACCCCGGCCCGACCCGCCUGGGGGCCCAAGGGAAGCUGAACGCCCCGUGGCUCCCCGGAUGGCUCUUCCCGUUCUUUGUGCCACCUUCACCCAGUGAGGGAGCCUGUGCCCACCCCGCCCAGUCGCUUUUGGGGCCCCUUCGGAGCUGCCGCUGCCAUCUUCGGAUCCUGUGUCCCGCAUGGGGGCUCCACCAGGGCAGGGAUGGUGGCGAGGGUCGCUCGUGGGUCCCCUCCCGGGGAGCAGGGUCUGGCACUCACCAGGCCGCCGGACUAGGACUUGCCGAAUGAAUCCAUCGUCGCCUUUAGUUUUUAGUCCUUUGAAGAGCCUUCAGAAUGGAAAUCAUGAGAGAUUUUUCCAUGGAGAAGUUCUUUUUACAAAGCAUUUAUUUAGUUGACUUCUCAGCACCCCGCGGGGCUGCAACGGGCAGGGCCUCCAGUGCACUUUCUGCGCAGUGGAGCCGCCGGGACUCAGCUGGGCGGUGGUCGGGUCUUGAGGCCUGAGGGCGGG